GAGUUUGAUCAUGGCUCAGAUUGAACGCUGGCGGCAUGCCUUAUACAUGCAAGUCGAACGGCAGCACGGGAGCUUGCUCCUGGUGGCGAGUGGCGAACGGGUGAGUAAUGCAUCGGAACGUAUCCUGGAGUGGGGGAUAACGUAGCGAAAGUUACGCUAAUACCGCAUAUUCUGUGAGCAGGAAAGCGGGGGACCUUCGGGCCUCGCGCUCUUGGAGCGGCCGAUGUCGGAUUAGCUAGUUGGUGAGGUAAAGGCUCACCAAGGCGACGAUCCGUAGCAGGUCUGAGAGGAUGAUCUGCCACACUGGAACUGAGACACGGUCCAGACUCCUACGGGAGGCAGCAGUGGGGAAUUUUGGACAAUGGGGGCAACCCUGAUCCAGCCAUGCCGCGUGAGUGAAGAAGGCCUCGG
rnacentral:rRNA from 1 species